rnacentral:rRNA from 1 species
GAUGAACGCUGGCGGCGUGCCUAACACAUGCAAGUCGAACGGAGAAAAUGUAGCAAUAUGUUUUUUAGUGGCGGACGGGUGAGUAACGCGUGAGUAACCUGCCUUUCGGAGGGGGACAACAGCUGGAAACGGCUGCUAAUACCGCAUAAUGUAUAUUAAGGGCAUCCUUGAUAUACCAAAGAUUUAUCGCCGAAAGAUGGACUCGCGUCUGAUUAGCUAGUUGGUGGGGUAAUGGCCUACCAAGGCUGCGAUCAGUAGCCGGACUGAGAGGUUGAACGGCCACAUUGGGACUGAGAUACGGCCCAGACUCCUACGGGAGGCUGA